AGAAUUUGGUUUCAGCGGUCUUGUACACCCUGUUACCACGGUUCAGAAGUUCCCCAACUUACUGAACCCUCGAAAAAACCGCCUGGGGAGGCGGUUUUUUCGU
rfam:Salmonella phage SE2, complete genome.